UAGCAACCAUGUUCCGUGUAGUUGUGCUGCUGUUGCUGGCUGCAGGUUCCUGUGUCGAGUGUGAAGAGUUGACCCAGCCACCGUCUGUCACUCUGCAGUCUGGUCAGAGUCUGAGCAUCGACUGUCGGGUGUCUUAUUCUGUGGGUCGCACUAACUACUACACAGCGUGGGUCAGGCAUCCUGCUGGGAAAGGACUGGAGUGGAUUGGGAUCGCACGUGCUGGCAGCUCUUACUACAAAGACUCACUGAAGAACCAGUUCAGUAUUAAUGUGAACCCCUCCAGCAACACAGUGACUCUAAAUGGACAGAAUAUGCAGCCUGGAGACACGGCUGUGUAUUACUGUGCCAGACGCCCACAACAACACAAAGCAUCAGCAGACUAGAACAAAAACAACAAC